GGAAAUGAAAAAAAAGGUUGUUUGAAUACUUUCGUUAAUUAUGUUUCUAAUCCAGGCAUCCCAAUACUGUACAUGUGCCGAGCUCAUGUGGAGAGAAAGGAACGAUACAGAUAAUUCUUAAUAAAAAUGCCGUCCCAGGAGGAACAUGAAGCACACUGCUUAGAAAUACAAAGCCAGAACUUCAAGUGUCCUAGCUAAGCAGAUUUUCUGAAUGUAUUCAAGGUGGUCUUAUGGUAAGUGAAGGAAGCCUGUGAAGUUGCUUGGAGCUCUUUGAGAAUGAAAAGUAAAACUCAUUUACAUUUCAGUGGAUCGGUGGCAGAAAUCAGAACAAAGUCCAUUUUUCUGAAGAGGAUCUGCGUGCAUGCAGGCUACCGAGAGGUUCAUGUGAGCACAGCAGUUUGGGGUUGGAUCAUUAUUCCUCAAGUUCUGCAGCAGUUAAGAGGAAAAUGUAGAAACAAUUUAAAUUUCCAUGACAUUAGAAGAGAAAAAGCUUUGAAGGUACAGGGAACUUAAGAACUCAACUCCUGGCGCUUUUAGUGGAAGUUGCAUGUUUUUGAACAUCUCCAUAAUAAAUAACUGCCAUGUGAGUGAUUUUUCAUUUCCUUAAAGAUUUGCAUCAUACACUGCUUGGUUCUAAUAUUGCAUAAAAUUGUCUUAACAUAAACAAGGAACCAAUCAAUGUAAGUCCCAAUAUUUUUCUCACCAAAACGUGUUCCUAUACAACAAAUACAAAUGUAGUCAGUGGAUGGAAUGUGCAUUACAGAAGUAUCAAGAAGAGCUACAUAUCCUGUGUCUUUGUGGUACAAUGUGGUACAAUUUGUGGUACAGUGUCAGGCCUCUAAUGGACUAAUGGGAACAUCCUGGUUUUCUUGUAUUCUAUAACAAGAACUUCAUGUUUGUCUCUUUUUAUCAGCAUAACAUGAACAAAGAGAUUCAUUUUGUAUCUCUGAAUGACCAUCAGGUUCUCAUUGGAAUACAUUGCAAACAGUGCCAUAAACUGUCAUCAAUGGGUGAACAACAAUUUUCAUGGGUAUAUUUGCUGCCUUUGGCAAGUAAAAAAUUGUUUCCCUUGUAACAGAUCAUCAUAUUGCUGGUUAUCUGUAUCCUCUUCCUGCCAGCCAGCGCCCUAGCAGAGGUGAUGGCUGCUGAGCCAUGAGUUUAAGAGAACUGCCCUGCUUUGUGCUCUGAGUGAUUAUUUCAGAAUUUGUGUUUCCACAAACAUCUGGCCUCUGAAGUGUGUUUGCUGACACAGAGACACACUUUUAUUACCCUGAUUGCUUAGGUUAUUGUCCUGCCUUGCUGCCUGUUGGCCAGCCCAGACCCUGCCAGCUUCUUAGGCUUCUUCAGCCAGUGUUACAAAACACAAAGCUUGCCAACAAUUAUUUAGUAGAGUUAGUUUUAAAUGUCAGAAAAUAGAUUCUAUUGCUUUGAUCUGUCCAGGAAUUCUGGCUGCAAUUUGUGCUUUAAAGUGUGCUUUGCUGUUUUAGGUAUUUUCUAGUAAUAAAUUAUUUGAACUUUGCCCUAUCUGUAAGUGAUGAAUCUCUGCCCUAAUCUAAGAUUCUGGUGCCCUGUUCAUCUACCCUGUUCUUCUGCUAUCAAGAAAAGCACUGGGUGUUUCCUAUCCAUCCAUAGAGAAGAAAAAACCUGAGGACCCUUCUCAUUAGCAAAGUACAAGCUGAGACAAGGGAUGAUCCUUUCAAUGUAGAAAACUUCAAAUAAAAAAGGAAAAUUUGAGGAACAUGUGAAAGUAUGUUUUCUAAUGAUCUGUUUUUCAAUUGGAGUUUGGUUUAAAAGAAGGGGAGACGGAACCUCCUGUUUUUGAACUAAUUGAUGUUGUGGAAUAGCAUAGAAAUGAUUUGGAAGUACUAAUCAUCCAUUUUCCUUCACAGCCAAAGAAGGAAGACCCAAGGGAACUGUUGAGUUCCUAAUUGUGUAAAAGUACAGGAGCGCAACUCAAACAUGCUUUUUCCAUUUUCAUUUAAUUGUGGAUUAUAGUUUAAACUUGUUUCCAUAGUUUGCAAGACAGUAGAGAAAUUUGAACUCUAGGUCAUGACAGAAAUACAUGUGGAUAUUUGCAGAAAGUGUCCUCAUUGCGUGCUGCUCCAGAGUGUCAUUUACAUUUUUAAAUUCCCCAUCCUUAGGACAAUUCUUUGUAUAAAGUCAAUUUUAUCAAAUAAAGUUUAUAAAAUGUUCAUUAGAUACGUUUAAAAA